rnacentral:snoRNA from 1 species
UUUUGCAAUGAUGUAUUGAAUUUCUUCACCUGAAUUAAUAACAAUGAAGAAGAAAUAUACGAGCUUUUUAACCCUGAGC